rnacentral:rRNA from 1 species
AACCCCUGCAUUUCAGUUGCCAUCGGGUAAUGCCGGGCACUCUGGAAGGACUGCCAUCGACAAGAUGGAGGAAGUGGGGAUGACGUCAAGUCAUCCAUGGCCCUUAUGUCCAGGGCGACACACGUGCUACAAUGGACCGGCACAACGGGAAGCGAGUUCGCGAGGACGAGCGGAUCCCUCAAAGCCGGUCGCAGUUCGGAUUGAAGUCUGCAACUCGACUUCAUGAAGCUGGAAUCGCUAGUAAUCGUGGAUCAGCCAAGCCGCGGUGAAUACGUUCCCGGGCCUU